rnacentral:rRNA from 1 species
CCCUUGUACACACCGCCCGUCACGGCAUGGGAGUUGGUUUUACCCGAAGACGGUGCGCUAACCGCAAGGAGGCAGCCGGCCACGGUAGGAUCAGCAACUGGGCCG